UACGGAGGGUGCGAGCGUUGUCCGGAAUCACUGGGCGUAAAGGGCGCGUAGGCGGCCCGGCAAGUCAACGGUGAAAGCUUGGGGCUCAACCCCGAGUCGGCCGUCGAUACUUCCGGGCUGGAGCACUGUAGAGGCAGGUGGAAUUCCGGGUGUAGCGGUGGAAUGCGUAGAGAUCCGGAAGAACACCGGUGGCGAAGGCGGCCUGCUGGGCAGUAGCUGACACUGAGGCGCGACAGCGUGGGGAGCAAACAGG
rnacentral:rRNA from 1 species